rnacentral:tRNA from 1 species
GCUGCGGUGGUGAGCGCGGCGAACGCCUCGCGCAUGCGCCACGCGCCGCGGUCGCGGGGGCCGAUCGGGUUCGAGACCGUCCGCAGCUC